rnacentral:rRNA from 1 species
ACUCCUACGGGAGGCAGCAGUGGGGAAUAUUGCACAAUGGGGGAAACCCUGAUGCAGCGACGCCGCGUGGAGGAAGAAGGUCUUCGGAUUGUAAACUCCUGUUGUUGAGGAAGAUAAUGACGGUACUCAA